rnacentral:rRNA from 1 species
UGGGGAAUAUUGGACAAUGGGCGCAAGCCUGAUCCAGCCAUGCCGCGUGUGUGAAGAAGGCCUUUUGGUUGUAAAGCACUUUAAGCGAGGAGGAGGCUACUUGGAUUAAUACUCUAGGAUAGUGGACGUUACUCGCAGAAUAAGCACCGGCUAACUCUGUGCCAGCAGCCGCGGUAAUACAGAGGGUGCGAGCGUUAAUCGGAUUUACUGGGCGUAAAGCGUGCGUAGGCGGCUUCUUAAGUCGGAUGUGAAAUCCCUGAGCUUAACUUAGGAAUUGCAUUCGAUACUGGGAAGCUAGAGUAUGGGAGAGGAUGGUAGAAUUCCAGGUGUAGCGGUGAAAUGCGUAGAGAUCUGUAGGAAUACCGAUGGCGAAGGCAGCCAUCUGGCCUAAUACUGACGCUGAGGUACGAAAGCAUGGGGAGCAAACAGG